GACGGAACUGUCAAGCUGAUAUAUCUACUUGACAGCCGCAUAAGAUGGCUUGAGUGCUGUUUUAUUCAAUAACAUGAAUAUUUUUUUAUAAAAAUGGAUUUGUGCAAAAUAAAAACAUCCAUGUCGUUUUCACCUCAUCAAAAAUCCUUCUAAAAUUACCACCACGACACCAUAUCGUUACGGAUCUUCCACACGGUCGAAUGGAGGGUGGGAGGAGGCAAUUACGUCUGUUGGGUCGACUACUGGGCAAACUGCGCGGCGGUAACAACACGUUCGAAAAACGGCUUUCCACUUCUAGCGGGGUCUUGUUCCCAACCACCAUCAGCAACAGCGAGAGCACGAUGACCGACGACGAAGACGCAGCGCCCUCUGAUACUUCCUCACGGAACCCCCUUGGCGCUAACAUCGAUUUGAGAUACAGCGGGCAAUGCCUAACGCCGGAGCAAUUACCCGAAUUCUGCAACCAACUACACCAUCUGGUCGAGGUGAUAAGAAACAUCCAGUCUUAUGGGAAAAUCACUGGCGAAUAUCCAAGUGAACUUGAGAAGCGUCUAGAAGAGGAGGCGCGUGAACUUGCCGCGCUUGCGGCAGAGGCGCGUAACGCGCGCGACGUGGUGACACGUACGCGCGCCCAGCGCCGCGCAGUCCGCGCGCAGAAAAAGCAACUCGUCGCGCACCUCGCCACCCUCAAGGAAACUGAAACACGCGAACUGGAGAAUUCCAUUCGACUGGCGGACCGAAAAUUUUAUUUGAGUUGGGAAGCCCUUAAAGAUUCUACCGACCCGACUGCCUUGGACCCUUUGCUGGAAGAAGUUAAGACCAAACAAAUAGCCUUGGAUAACCUGGUGCGUCUGAUAGAGUGCCGGCGUUCGUCUCUAACACGAAGCGCCUCACCGCCUACGCUGUUCGCAGGAGCCGAUAAGUCGGAUGGUUCGUACAGAAAACCCACUGGCCUAAUACCCACACGCGGCAGCUAUUCGAGACCAGCUCGUUCAAUGGAGGCGCCUGACGGUUCGUACAGAAGGCUUACCACAAGUCUAUCAAAGUUUACGCGAUUAGUGUGCCGAUGGGUACGAAGUACCGACCGAAACCCAUGAGAAGAAUUCUCAUUCUUAAACAGUGAAAAUGGCGAAGGUUCAAAGCCCACAUCAGCCAUAUUACUUAACCACGUAUAUAAAUUCGAAGAAAGAAAUGUUUAUAUGAGUCACCGCAAUAGUUAUAACUUCGUUCUAAACCAGUCGAGUGCCACAGGCAAGAAGCGUUUCGACGGUUCCAAACGGGCCGUCAAAAGAAAGCGGGCGCGAGAGCCGCGGUCGGUGCCUCUCUCGGGCGAACCUAGCAGACAUGGGCCGCA